GAGAAUUAAUUCUGCUACAUUAAUUUGCAAGACACAUGCAUUGGUAAUUAGUGAAAGAAAAACAACAUGCUGCUGGGUCAAAUUGUGAAGUCCAACUGCCUAGGUCCAAUGGCCUAGAUCAGACUUGCUCAAAUGAGCCCAAGACUUGGGCCUGCUUGCGAGUCUAACCCAACUUACAAUUACAUACAAUCUUAAACAUGUUCAUUUCAAUAAGGAAAUAUACUAUUGAGAGUUUAUUAAUAAUUAAACUUAAAUAAAAAACUAACAGUCAACAUACAAAAUUUGUCAUUCUAAAACUUCACACAAGAAAGAUUUCAAAACUAAUGAACAUCAAUCUACCAGCCCCUUACAGAUUGUAUCCAAUAAGAAAGAAAGAAGAACUAAAAGAAAUAAAAGGAGAAUUGUCUGGUAACCUUGAACUUCUGCAAUCCGACUCUUCACAAUCGAGGUACCAACUUGCAAAAGAUCAAUAAUAAAGCUGUUUCUUACAAGCUGGCUAUUUUAACACCACAAAUGAAGCUUCUUACUGUCCAAAUCAUUCCUAUUCUACUAAGGAUUUCAUGAAUCUAAUCAUAUAAAGAGGUUAGAUCCACAGAAAUGCCUUUAAUUAUACCAGCUCAAUAUAUUUGUCAGGUUCAAACAUAGACACGCAAUGCUAUAAAAAUUAUAAUUCAUGGGUUUAACAAUGCUAAAGUUAAACUCAUGAACCAAUGUAGGUUCCAAGCCCAAAAAUCAUGACAGCUUUGGUGAAGUGCUAGAAUAAACUCAAAGGGAAUAAAAGGGGAAGUUUAGUCCAUGAACCUGACCAUGUAAGGGUCAGGCUCAAUGGACAAACCUGGUUUUAGGGGGGUUGAACAUAAUGUUUAAUCAGUACAAGAAGAAAUAGAAAUGCAUGUUAGUUGGUAGGAAUUAAAAUGAAAGUUUGAUGAAGAAAACAAGACACUAUGACAUACAUUAGAAAUAAGAAAAGUUACGAAUGCUGAGAAAGAAAAGCUUUAGCACUACUAUAACUUCAGCUUGUCAAAUUAAACUUAACAACAUAUACAAACGAUGUCAAACAAAAGGAAACAUCUCAUAUUCAUCUAAAACUUAAUUUACAUAGGAAUUAAUAACGAAAUGGUCAUAUGUACCUUGAAACAACAGUGAUUUUGUACAGAGUGUUAAAUUUUAACCCUCAUUCUCUAUGGGAAAAGGCACCAUAUAUUGGGAUAUAUAAUGCCUGGAGGAAUUAUUCCUUAGCCUAAACAGCAUAUUCCCUACAAAAUUGGGACAACUGAUUUUUCCUCAUUAGUUCAGUACUUUGUACUAAUCAAAUGAGGCCAUGUGCUCCUUUUUCUAGAGUAUUAUGAUAUCUCCAAUUAGGAAAAACCCUAAAUUAUCCUUUUGAAACCUGCUUAUUACAGCCUCUAUCUAAAAUUUCUUUGUUCAUUUAGGUCCCUAAGGUUUCUAAUGGUUGGCAAAUUAAAGCUAACAGUACAAGGACAACAUUUCUACACAUAAGAAGAUCAAAAUAUAAGACUAUUAAAGCACAACAACCCUUAAAUUAAAACUUAAAAUUACUGAUAUGAACAGAACUUGAAAAAUGGAACAACCAUAGAAGAAACGAGUUAACUAAAAAUGAAACAACAUGAAGGAAAACUUUGAAACUAAUAUUAACCGGAACUUCAAAGGAAAACUGCUAACCUAACAUAAUUGAUGAAACUUAGCAAACAAAAAAAAGGAACUUAAAUCAGGCGGCUAAUUUGGCAGUAGAACCACUUCAAACAAACUUUUUUUAAAAACAAAACACGACUUAACUAUCCUACAUGCCUCGAAUUUUAUCAAUACAAAUAACUUAAGAAAACUUGAAUCACUGAAAUUCAAAUAAACCAAGUAACCAAAACAAAAUUGACACCAAAGUAAUAAAAGUAAAAAGACCUAACCAAACAAGUAAAGAAAAAGCAGGAACAAAACGAAUUUGGCUGGGACAACAUAGACAAAUAAAGUGAAUCGACAUGCUGACUGAACCAUACGCAAGGAAAAACACAUAAAGAAAAAUAGGUGGAGAUGAUACUAAGAAAAAGGAAAAAAGGCAGAAGGGCAAAGAGAAUUACCCAAAAAAUCGAAAAAAGAUCUUCAAAACGGCACUAGAUUAAUUGUAUGGUCUAAUCCUCUAAAACGAACCAAAAUUAAUGCUAAUAAGUUUUUCUUGCCAAGAACAAACUGACUAGCAUGCAUUUUGGACUACUUUGAGCUUGGUAACCAAAUCAACUAGGGCUUUUGACUUUUUCAUAGAUUUGGAAUUUGGGGUUUUUUGUCAGGGGCACUUGGGAAAUCAAUGAUGAAAUCAUAAUGAAGGAAGGUCAAGGAUGAUGGGUUGUAAUUUUGGGGUAAUUUGGGGAAGUUAGGGUUUUGACCGAAUUUUCGAUCUAAGAUUCGAACAAAUCUAAAGGAAUUCGAGGGGAGAUAGUCGGAGAUUAGGAAGAGGGAGGUGAUGAGGGUUCUAUGAUGUAAAGAUGGGGUGGUUUGAGCAUCGCCGCUAGUGGAGGCGAUUUUUGGCACGCAAUCGUGGCAGAGGUGGCGAUGGAAUGCAAGGGCGGCUAUGGUUUCUCUUGGUUAUAGAGACUGAGUGAGAAUGAGGGGAUACGACGAGGGG
rnacentral:lncRNA from 1 species